GAAAUGCGAUAAGUAAUGUGAAUUGCAGAAUUCAGUGAAUCAUCGAAUCUUUGAACGCACCUUGCGCUCCUUGGUAUUCCUUGGAGCAUGCCUGUUUGGGUAUCAUGAAAUCUUCAAAGUAAAUCUUUUGUUUACUCAAUUGGUUUCUACUUUGGUAUUGGAGGUCUUUGCAGCUUCACACCUGCUCCUCUUUGUUCAUUAGCUGGAUCUCAGUGUUAUGCUUGGUUCCACUCGGCGUGAUAAGUUAUCUAUCGCUGAGGACACUGUAAAAGGUGGCCAAGGUAAAUGCAGAUGAACCGCUUCUAAUAGUCCAUUGACUUGGACAAUACUUUUAUGAUCUGAUCUCAAAUCAGGUAGGACUACCCGCUGAACUUAAGC
rnacentral:misc_RNA from 1 species